rnacentral:rRNA from 1 species
GAGCGCAACCCUUAUCCUUGUUUGCCAGCGAGUAAUGUCGGGAACUCCAGGGAGACUGCCGGUGAUAAACCGGAGGAAGGUGGGGACGACGUCAAGUCAUCAUGGCCCUUACGAGUAGGGCUACACACGUGCUACAAUGGCGCAUACAGAGGGCGGCCAACUUGCGAAAGUGAGCGAAUCCCAUAAAGUGCGUCGUAGUCCGGAUUGGAGUCUGCAACUCGACUCCAUGAAGUCGGAAUCGCUAGUAGUCG